ACCAGCACUAGUACCUUUAGAAACUAAUCCACAGGAUGCUUACAAGUAGGCUUGGCUUUAAAAAGGAUCUGAAUCCAUACUAAGCAAGCUACAGGGGGGAUGAGUUUAGCCCUCAUUAUUUCACUCUCAAGCAUGAGACAAUUUAGGGGAAGUCAGCCCAGCCUUAGGUGCUUUGACACUUUAGUGAGACUGGGAAGUGCCUGCCCUUCAGCUCCCAGCUAUUUACACAGUCAGCAACUGUUCAGGCUUUUGCUGCCCCAGGCAGCCACUUGCUGAGAGAGGCUGCCCCAGGGCCCAGCACAGCUGCAAGCUGGAAGGGCAGGAGUGGCAGGUGCAGUUACACUAACUACUCUGCAGGCAGAAGCCAAGGCCAGUCAGCUCCCACCCUGCAGGCCACGCUCCAUCAUGCAGAGGAUCCAGAAGGAUCAUCCCUCAGACCACUCUUUCUCAUGCCAUGGGUAGCACACCACAGUUAGUUAGGUAGAGUGAUCUUUUCUGGUGACAUGUCACUAAUCUGUGAGAGAGGAGAAGACAAAGCAGCCCAAUCUGGUCUGGCAGUUUGCAGGCUGCCUCAUUGUCCUGACUCCUGUUCCAGCUGCUGCUGGGUCACUGGCACCUCAAACACCACCAGUCUGCCACCCAGGCAUCCGUCUGCACCCAGCUGGCUAACAAAUAAGGAGCCAGUGACCACGCUCUGAAAGUUGUGUAUUACCCACCAUAAAGGUUGUGUAGAACAAGUGGCCUCUGCUGUACAGUCCUUUGCAUUAGUGCUAGCAUCACAGCCUCCAGGAGAACAUCAGCUCCAACAGCAACAACAAAAACUCACCUUCUCUCAUAGUUAAAACUCAUUAAACUCACUCUGCACAAAGUUCCAGUGCUGAAAAAUGGGAACCCUUGGCACAGUGCUCAUUUCAGCAAUUCCCCAUUUCUCCUCUUAGCAGCAUCUACAGGGCGACAGGGAGCAGUUUCAGCCUUCUGCCUUUGUGAAGAAGCAAGUCUCAAGAAACUUCACAGAGCACUGCACCAGUGAAGAAGCAAGUGCUCAAUGAGCUUCACAGGGCACAGCACUGCACCAGUGAAGGAGCAAGUGCUCAACGAGCUUCACAGGGCACAGCAC